GAAGAGUUGAUUAUUUGGGACUUGAAGGAGGUUUGACAUGAGAACCUGCAUUUAAAACCACAGAUUGGGCUCUGCUUGCUGGACCCCAGGUGACGAUAUAUCCACGUAUUCUGUUAUAAAUUUGGGUUUGUAUGUUCAUAAUGUGUGGCACUCUCUAAAGUGUGAGGCCCAAAGGAGGAUAUUCUUACACAGGCCUGAAGUGGUUGGACUGAGUCCCAUGAAGCCAGAUCACUUCUGACUGCAAGGAGCUUGGAAAAGCAAGUAUCUGGAUCUUUUACCAGCUAAAUUUGGAGAAUUAUUGAUCAAAUUUGGAUCUCUGUGUGCUGUCCUCCAAUUUAAUACUUUCUGUGUUGCUGUUUUAUUUUCUUUCUUCUGGAACCUGGCAAAGUGCGUCAAGCGAUGAGGCUUCCUCUUUGAAGAUCACAGGUGAGAAGAUUAGGUGCUUUCUCAGAAGCCCAGCAACCUGAUGGGAGUGUGGAGUGAGCAAGACCCAAAUCGGAGCUUCAUCCCUGCAUGGUUCAUUUUGCUUAUUUGGCAAACUUGCCCUGCAGAAUCUACUCAAGCUUCCUCAGUUUCUCAAAUCAUUCUUGGGCAACAAAUGAACAAGAAAGAGGACGUCUUAUUAUCUGGUGUCUGGCUUGCUGAUUUAAUAACCUAGGAGACAGUGUUUGAAGAACACAAACUCUAAAGUCCUUCACUUAAAAAAAAAAAAAAACUUUCCCAAAUUGCUUACCAUUUGGAAAAAUUGCCUUACCUUCUUCAGUCAUCUCUGAUGUUGUCAUCCUCAGAGUAAGAAGUACGCAUUCAUAAGGAACCAUAACGUCCUUCAGGAAAUCCAGUACACCCUACAAUUUUACCUAAAACUUUGAUGUUGUUUUUUCUGAGCAUUUUACCUUCUAGGGAAAUGGAUCUCAUGCUGUUUAUCAGUUUCUGAAAGUUGUUAUUAAUCUCCCCUCAUCCCAAAAUUGAAGAACUUUGCUUAAAUCUUAGAAUCAGAACUUUGGCUCCAGUAAUAAAGACUUUUCAAUAUCUUUAUCUGCCAUUGAGUCUUACCUAACGAAAUAAAGCCUCCAAAGUGGGAAUUUGAAA
rnacentral:lncRNA from 1 species